GCAGCAGAAAUCCUCCCUCCAAGCUGGCGGCCAGCAGCACUGCCAUGUUUUUUUUCUCCCCAGGGCUGCCUGCAGCGCGGGCUGCAUCCUCCACAAUAGGACAAAGCCGGAGCACGGCUCAUUCCCCUCCCUGCGCCGCACCCCCGUCAGCUGUCAGCUUUCCUUAGGGAUCACCGGGAUGCGGCGACAUCGCAGGAAAGGGGUUUUUUCUUUUUUUUUUUUUUUUUUUUUUUUUGGAGGGGGGGAUAAAAAUUUGACAGGCUCGCCAGGCUCCCAUCCCCCUCCUGCUGCAGUCAGGGCUGGAUGGAGCCGAAGGCUGCAAAGGCGGAGCGGGAAUGGGGAUGGAGAGGGGGGGGAUAAAACCACUGCCUCCACCCUGUACGGACCUGCAGCCACCUCAGGUUUGUGGUACGGGGGUGGAGGAAGAGAUGUGUGAAUGGAAAAAAACAAGAUAAAAAUGUAAAAAAAUAAAUAGAAGGCAAUAAAUGCCCGUGGGCGUUUUAUUGUCCGAGUCUCCCCACGCCCUCCCUCCGCAAAACAACCGCAUUUCCUGGGGCCCCUGAGAACGGCGGGGAUAUCCGAACACGAGCAGCUGUUAUAAAAUAUAUAUAAAUCAUAUCAAAACCCCACCCGGGGGGCCAGGUCGGGAUGGGGAGAAGGGUGCAGGGUGGGGAUGGGAUUGGUGCUGUGAGAAUUAAUGAUGGGGAAAUGACCCAGGGGGGGUCACACACAUCAAACCCCCCGGGUAAUGCUGAGGGGAGCAGGGGGAGGAUCCCAGGCUGGGCUGGAGAUGAAUGGGAAAGGAUCCAGGGUGGGGGUGGGACUGAAGCCGGGGGGGUGCUGUGGUAAUUAAUGACAGGAGAAAGCACACAGCGGUCCCCAAGGGGGUCGCACACACCAGACCCCCACUAAUAUUGGAGAUGAGGACAGGGGGAAGCACCCAGGAAGAAAUGGGGGGGCUACGAUGGCCAGGUGACAGCUGAAGAAAACCACCUGAAUGGGGAAAGCGGGCUGAUAAUGAGGUCAUUUUGCAAAAUAAAUGGAAUAUAUUCAAG